GGAAAGCCUUUGCGGCAUGGGAUGGGGUCGCGUCCUAUCAGCUUGAUGGCGGGGUAACGGCCCACCAUGGCUUCGACGGGUAGCCGGCCUGAGAGGGCGACCGGCCACAUUGGGACUGAGAUACGGCCCAGACUCCUACGGGAGGCAGCAGUGGGGAAUAUUGCACAAUGGGCGCAAGCCUGAUGCAGCGACGCCGCGUGAGGGAUGGAGGCCUUCGGGUUGUAAACCUCUUUUGUUAGGGAGCAAGGCAUUUUGUGUUGAGUGUACCUUUCGAAUAAGCACCGGCUAACUACGUGCCAGCAGCCGCGGUAAUACGUAGGGUGCAAGCGUUAUCCGGAAUUAUUGGGCGUAAAGGGCUCGUAGGCGGUUCGUCGCGUCCGGUGUGAAAGUCCAUCGCUUAACGGUGGAUCCGCGCCGGGUACGGGCGGGCUUGAGUGCGGUAGGGGAGACUGGAAUUCCCGGUGUAACGGUGGAAUGUGUAGAUAU
rnacentral:rRNA from 1 species